rnacentral:rRNA from 1 species
ACGUAGGCUCCAAGCGUUGUUCGGAAUUACUGGGCGUAAAGCGAGUGUAGGCGGCUCGCCAAGUCGAUUGUGAAAUCUCCCGGCUCAACUGGGAGGCUGCGGUCGAUACUGGCGAGCUAGAGUGCGGAAGAGGAAGGUAGAAUUCCUGGUGUAGCGGUGGAAUGCGUAGAUAUCAGGAGGAAUACCGGUGGUGAAGACGGCCUUCUGGACCGCAACUGACGCUGAGACUCGAAAGCGUGGGGAGCAAACAGG